UACGGAGGAUGCGAGCGUUAUCCGGAUUUAUUGGGUUUAAAGGGUGCGCAGGCGGCACGGCAAGCCGGCGGUCAAAUCGCGGGGCUCAACCCCGCCCAGCCGUCGGAACUGCCGGGCUAGAGUGGGCGAGAAGUGCGCGGAAUGCGUGGUGUAGCGGUGAAAUGCAUAGAUAUCACGCAGAACUCCGAUUGCGAAGGCAGCGCACCGGCGCCCUACUGACGCUCAGGCACGAAAGCGUGGGGAGCGAACAGG
rnacentral:rRNA from 1 species